ACAAGCGAUCCACGACCCAGUUAAUAUGGUCCGGUAAGUUCAUUUAAUCUGUCUUCGAAGUCCGAAGUCCGAACAACACCCAUCUCAUUCUUCUUUUCUCUCGAUCCUUCUCUUCCUCUUUAUACAACCAGAUUUGUCAUCAAUUGAUGAGUUCUUUGAUUUUCUUUCCGACAAACGCUUAAAAUCUCUAAAGUGAAUAUGAAAACUGGUACCACCAUUGUUGGUCUCGUCUGCAAGGUAGAAUUUGAACCAGAAAGAUCAAAGAUGGGUUAGGCAGGGUUACAUUGCUCCUUGUCUCUGCCUGUACACGGCUUAAUUUUUUCUUUCAACUUAUCAAAUCCAUGCUUUAAGAGUGUAAUUAUGAUAACGUUUGCAUUUUAGCUUUCUUUCAAAGUUUUCAAUUAA